UACGUAGGGGGCAAGCGUUGUCCGGAAUUAUUGGGCGUAAAGAGCGUGUAGGCGGUCGGUAAGUCAGCUGUGAAAGUCAAGGGCUCAACCCUUGAAAGCCGGUUGAUACUGUCGGGCUAGAGUCCGGAAGAGGCGAGUGGAAUUCCCGGUGUAGCGGUGAAAUGCGCAGAUAUCGGGAGGAACACCAAUGGCGAAGGCAGCUCGCUGGGACGG
rnacentral:rRNA from 1 species